CGACCGGCGCACGGGUGAGUAACACGUAUGCAACCUACCUUUAACAGGGGGAUAACACUGAGAAAUUGGUACUAAUACCCCAUAAUAUCAUAGAAGGCAUCUUUUAUGGUUGAAAAUUCCGAUGGUUAGAGAUGGGCAUGCGUUGUAUUAGCUAGUUGGUGGGGUAACGGCUCACCAAGGCGACGAUACAUAGGGGGACUGAGAGGUUAACCCCCCACACUGGUACUGAGACACGGACCAG
rnacentral:rRNA from 1 species